GAGUUUUUUAACACAAAGAAAAGGAGAAAAUAGAAAUAAAGAGGAAAACAAAGGGCACGAUACGAGCCCUUGGCUAUCAGGUUUUCUGUGCGCGUGUGUUGGUGUGAUUUGAUGUGAUUGAUCCUGAGGGCGUAUUUCCAACAAUUGGUAUCUAGAGAAAGGUUGAGGUCAAGCUGCGCUUGCCCCGGGGUGGCGACCCGACUAGCGCCUCGGGGCGGGCCAUAUAGUCGUCGGGUGGUACAACGACGAGGAGGAACGGGCGAUCUAGUCGCUGGGUGGUGCAGCGACGUGAAGGGUCAUGCGGUUGUUCGUUCGGCAGAGCGACAAUGAGAAGGUGGCAAGGACAUUGUCGUAAGCGAGGCAACAAGUGAUUGUCGUUCGGCAGAACGACCUGGAGGAGGGCAAAAGGGCUGUUGUCGACAAGGUGUUGGUGAUCGUUGAUGGUUAUGGAGGUGCCGAACUUGCGACACCGAGGAAAUCAUCGAGAUCAUCGUUGGAGGGUGCAAGGUGGAGAUGGCGAAGCUGUGAGCCGUCAUCAAGGUGUGCACAUGAGUUCUUGUAAGGUGCGUCCAAGAGUUCGGGUGUGUGAAUCUUCUGCUGCAGUUAAGAUGCGUCACUGGCAGGGGAGAAUUGCAAGCGUGAGCGGGCGGAAAAAGGAAUUUGUGCCUUGCGUUUUCGUUCGUGGUCGUGGAGUUCCGGCGAGUUCAUAUACGGUGGAGGUGAGUUGCACGUAUAUGACGAGUUGUGUUGCCGCUGGACAGGAGGUGUCGUUCGAUAAGACGUGGCAUCGGCGACAAUGAGAAAGAUUGAAGAUGUGGCGGGUGAAGAGAUGUGUCUCCCCGUGUGUGAGCAAGUAGUCGUCGAGAAGAUGGAGAUCAACGUGAAGAGGACGCGCACCGGUUAAGUUGAGUUCCUGCAUGAGGCUAUGCAUUUAGUCUGCAUGUAGCACGCUAAGUUGUGGCAGCGUGGCUGGUAGUCCGGGUAAUCGUUGGUUUCAGUUUUUCAAGUCGGCACAAAAGUAUAAUGGUGAUGACGUGGUGGCCAUCGUUGCAAGAAGAGAGAAGCUGAUGUCCGGCCCGGGGCGCGCACGACGGCGGAGCGGCGGUCCGCGAGCAAGAAGAGCGUGGCGGUAGGCGUCGCUAGGGAGGACGAGGCACGGCGCCUCCGGCAUGUGGAAGGCGGCGGCGAAGGCGAGGCGGUCGAUGAGGCACAGGCGAGCUUGGAUGUUGGCUAGCAUGUCCGGCGGGAGGCCGGAGACGCCUGCUGCGGCGGCGGCGGCGUCUGCUCGAUUCCGUAGCAUUGGAUUGGGGAUUGGAGGGUGGUCUGCGUGGUCCGAUCGGGAAUCAACGGUUCAAAAAUUGAGUAGCAGCCUACGUACCCUAGUCCGUUUUCUGCUGUGCCCGUCCCUGUUCUUUUGGAUCUCAACGGUUGCUAGGCCUGCGUGCCACUUGUAUAGCGCAAUCCUUUUUUUUAUGGUAAUAUGUGUCUCAUAUAUA